rnacentral:rRNA from 1 species
UACGAAGGGGGCUAGCGUUGCUCGGAAUUACUGGGCGUAAAGGGCUCGUAGGCGGCGUGUCGCGUCGGGAGUGAAAGCCCGCUGCUUAACGGCGGGUUGGCUUCCGGUACGGGCAUCGCUGGAGUGCGGCAGGGGAGACUGGAAUUCCUGGUGUAGCGGUGGAAUGCGCAGAUAUCAGGAGGAACACCGGUGGCGAAGGCGGGCUCUGGCGAACAGUACUGAGAGCGAAGACGUGGG